UACAGGGGGGGCAAGCGUUGUUCGGAAUUACUGGGCGUAAAGGGUCUGUAGGUGGCCAACUAAGUCAGACGUGAAAUCCCUCAGCUUAACUGGGGAACUGGCGUCUGAUACUGGAUGGCUUGAGUGUGGGAGAGGAAUGCGGAAUUCCAGGUGUAGCGGUGAAAUGCGUAGAUAUCAGGAGGAACACCGAUGGCGAAGGCAGCUCGCUGGGACGGUACUGACGCUGAGGCGCGAAAGCGUGGGGAGCGAACAGG
rnacentral:rRNA from 1 species